UACAGAGGUCUCAAGCGUUGUUCGGAUUCAUUGGGCGUAAAGGGUGCGUAGGUGGCGGGGUAAGUCAGGUGUGAAAUUUCGGAGCUCAACUCCGAAACUGCAUUUGAUACUGCCUUGCUUGAGGACUGGAGAGGAGACUGGAAUUCACGGUGUAACAGUGAAAUGCGUAGAGAUCGUGAGGAAGACCAGUGGCGAAGGCGGGUCUCUGGACAGUUCCUGACACUGAGGCACGAAGGCCAGGGGAGCAAACGGG
rnacentral:rRNA from 1 species